rnacentral:pre_miRNA from 1 species
UCUUCUCUUGGUCUACAGAUCCGAUGUUUAACCGUUCUGUAGCUCUUGGGACUGAAGA